rnacentral:rRNA from 1 species
AUUGAACGCUGGCGGCAGGCCUAACACAUGCAAGUCGAACGAGUGGCGGACGGGUGAGUAAUGUAUGGGAAACUGCCCGAUGGAGGGGGAUAACUACUGGAAACGGUAGCUAAUACCGCAUACCAUCGGAUGUGCCCAGAUGGGAGUAGCUAGUAGGUGGGGUAACGGCUCACCUAGGCGACGAUCCCUAGCUGGUCUGAGAGGAUGACCAGCCACACUGUAACUGAGACACGGUCCAUACUCCGACGGGAGGCAGCAGUGGGGAAUAUUGCACAAUGGGCGCAAGCCUGAUGCAGCCAUGCCGCGUGUAUGAAGAAGGCCUUCGGUUUUUAAAGUACUUUCAGCGAGGAGGCGUUACUCGCAGAAGAAGCACCGGCUAACUCCGUGCCAGCAGCCGCGGUAAUUC